rnacentral:rRNA from 1 species
UACGUAGGGGGCAAGCGUUGUCCGGAUUUAUUGGGCGUAAAGAGCGUGUAGGCGGCCAGGUAGGUCGGUUGUGAAAACUGGAGGCUUAACCUCCAGACGUCGACCGAAACCAUCUGGCUAGAGUCCGGGAGAGGAGAGUGGAAUUCCUGGUGUAGCGGUGAAAUGCGCAGAUAUCAGGAAGAACACCCGUGGCGAAAGCGGCUCUCUGGAACGGUACUGACGCUGAGACGCGAAAGCGUGGGGAGCGAACAGG